UGGGGAAUAUUGCACAAUGGGCGCAAGCCUGAUGCAGCCAUGCCGCGUGUGUGAAGAAGGCCUUCGGGUUGUAAAGCACUUUCAGCGGGGAGGAAGGCGAUAAGGUUAAUAACCUCAUCGAUUGACGUUACCCGCAGAAGAAGCACCGGCUAACUCCGUGACAGCAGCCGCGGUAAUACGGAGGGUGCAAGCGUUAAUCGGAAUUACUGGGCGUAAAGCGCACGCAGGCGGUCUGUCAAGUCGGAUGUGAAAUCCCCGGGCUCAACCUGGGAACUGCAUUCGAAACUGGCAGGCUAUAGUCUUGUAGAGGGGGGUAGAAUUCCAGGUGUAGCGGUGAACUGCGUAGAGAUCUGGAGGAAUACCGGUGGCGAAGGCGGCCCCCUGGACAAAGACUGACGCUCAGGUGCGAAAGCGUGGGGAGCAAACAGG
rnacentral:rRNA from 1 species